rnacentral:rRNA from 1 species
UUCCGAGCCUUCGGGGCAGGGAGACAGGUGGUGCAUGGUUGUCGUCAGCUCGUGUCGUGAGAUGUUGGGUUAAGUCCCGCAACGAGCGCAACCCUUGCUGUCAGUUGCCAACGGUCCGCCGGGCACUCUGACGGGACUGCCGGCGACAAGUCGGAGGAAGCGGGGACGACGUCAAAUCAUCAUGCCCCUUAUGUUCUGGGCUACACACGUACUACAAUGGCUGCCACAGAGGGAAGCGAAGCCGCAAGGCGGAGCGAAUCCCCAAAGACAGUCCCAGUUCGGAUUGCGGGCUGCAACUCGCCCGCAUGAAGUCGGAAUUGCUAGUAAUGGCAGGUCAGCAUACUGCCGUGAAUACGUUCCCGGGCCUU